rnacentral:rRNA from 1 species
AACCUGGUUGAUCCUGCCAGUAGUCAUAUGCUUGUCUCAAAGACUAAGCCAUGCAUGUCUAAGUAUAAAUGCUAUACAAUGAAACUGCGAAUGGCUCAUUAAAACAGUUAUAGUUUAUUUGGUAAUCGAAUUUACAUGGAUAACCGUGGUAAUUCUAGAGCUAAUACAUGCUAUUAAGCCUGACUUCUUGAAAGGCCGUAUUUAUUAGAUAACAGACCAAUAUUCCUCGUGUCUAUUGUGGUGAAUCAUAGUAACUUUUCGGAUCGCAUGGGUUUUGCCCGCGACAAACCAUUCAAGUUUCUGCCCCAUCAGCUUUCGAUGGUAGUGUAUUGGACUACCAUGGCUUUCACGGGUAACGGAGGAUUAGGGUUCGAUUCCGGAGAGGGAGC